UGGUAGGGGAGCGUUCUGUAAGCCGAUGAAGGUGUGUUGAGAAGCAUGCUGGAGGUAUCAGAAGUGCGAAUGCUGACGUGAGUAACGACAAAACGGGUGAAAAACCCGUUCGCCGAAAGACCAAGGGUUCCAGUCCAACGUUAAUCGGGGCUGGGUGAGUCGACCCCUAAGGCGAGGCCGAAAGGCGUAGUCGAUGGGAAAAUGGUUAAUAUUCCAUUACUUCUGUGUAAUGCGAUGAGAGGACGGAGAAGGCUAAAUCAGCCUGGCGUUGGUUGUCCAGGUGAAAGGAUGUAGGCAUGUAUCUUAGGCAAAUCCGGGGUACUCUAUGCUGAGAUCUGAUAGCAAGCUGUACUUGUACAGCGAAGUGGUUGAUGCCAUGCUUCCAGGAAAAGUCUCUAAGCUUCAGUUACACAGGAAUCGUACCCGAAACCGACACAGGUGGUCAGGUCGAGUAGACCAAGGCGCUUGAGAGAACUCUGCUGAAGGAACUAGGCAAAAUGGUACCGUAACUUCGGGAGAAGGUACGCUGUUGUUGGUGAUGGAACUCGCUUCCUGAGCUGACGACAGCCGCAGAAACCAGGCCGCUGCAACUGUUUAUUAAAAACAUAGCACUCUGCAAACACGAAAGUGGACGUAUAGGGUGUGAUGCCUGCCCGGUGCUGGAAGGUUAAUUGAUGGGGUUAGCGUAAGCGAAGCUCUUGAUCGAAGCCCCAGUAAACGGCGGCCGUAACUAUAACGGUCCUAAGGUAGCGAAAUUCCUUGUCGGGUAAGUUCCGACCUGCACGAAUGGCAUAAUGAUGGCGGCGCUGUCUCCAGCAGAGGCUCAGUGAAAUCGAAAUCGCUGUGAAGAUGCAGUGUACCCGCGGCUAGACGGAAAGACCCCGUGAACCUUUACUGCAGCUUGACACUGAACUUUGACCUUACUUGUGUAGGAUAGGUGGGAGGCUUUGAAGCUGGAACGCUAGUUCCAGUGGAGCCGUCCUUGAAAUACCACCCUGGUAAUGUUGAGGUUCUAACUCUGUCCCGUGAUCCGGGACGAGGACCGUGUCUGGUGGGUAGUUUGACUGGGGCGGUCUCCUCCUAAAGAGUAACGGAGGAGUACGAAGGUGCGCUCAGCGUGGUCGGAAAUCACGCGUAGAGUAUAAAGGCAAAAGCGCGCUUAACUGCGAGACCCACAAGUCGAGCAGGUACGAAAGUAGGUCUUAGUGAUCCGGUGGUUCUGUAUGGAAGGGCCAUCGCUCAACGGAUAAAAGGUACUCUGGGGAUAACAGGCUGAUACCGCCCAAGAGUUCAUAUCGACGGCGGUGUUUGGCACCUCGAUGUCGGCUCAUCUCAUCCUGGGGCUGAAGCAGGUCCCAAGGGUAUGGCUGUUCGCCAUUUAAAGAGGUACGCGAGCUGGGUUUAGAACGUCGUGAGACAGUUCGGUCCCUAUCUACCGUGGGCGCUGGAAAUUUGAGAGGAUCUGCUCCUAGUACGAGAGGACCAGAGUGGACGAACCUCUGGUGUACCGGUUGUGACGCCAGUCGCAUCGCCGGGUAGCUAUGUUCGGAAGGGAUAACCGCUGAAAGCAUCUAAGCGGGAAGCCUACCUCAAGAUAAGAUUUCCCUAGGACUUUAUGUCCUCUAAAGAGCCGUUCGAGACUAGGACGUUGAUAGGUUGGAUGUGGAAGCAUAGUGAUAUGUGAAGCUGACCAAUACUAAUUGCUCGUGAGGCUUGACUAU
rnacentral:rRNA from 1 species